CUACGGGUGGCACCAGUGGGGAAUAUUGGACAAUGGGGGAAACCCUGAUCCAGCAAUGCCGCGUGCGUGAAGAAGGCCUGCGGGUUGUAAAGCACUUUCGGUUGGGAGGACUGCUUCUAGCACUAAUAUUGUUGGAAGUUGACGUUACCUUCAGAAGAAGCACCGGCUAACUCCGUGCCAGCAGCCGCGGUAAUACGGAGGGUGCAGGCGUUAAUCGGAAUUACUGGGCGUAAAGCGCGCGUAGGCGGCUAGAUCAGUCGGGUGUGAAAGCCCCGGGCUUAACCUGGGAACUGCAUCCGAUACUGUCUAGCUUGAGUACAGGAGAGGAGAGUGGAAUUCCACAUGUAGCGGUGACAUGCGUAGAUAUGUGGAGGAACACCGAUGGCGAAGGCAGCUCUCUGGCCUGAUACUGACGCUGAGGUGCGAAAGCGUGGGGAGCAAACAGGAUUAGAUACCCCCGUAGUC
rnacentral:rRNA from 1 species